CCCUNCCNGCNGUCGACGAUUCCUACGGGAGGCAGCAGUGGGGAAUCUUAGACAAUGGGCGCAAGCCUGAUCUAGCCAUGCCGCGUGAGUGACGAAGGCCUUAGGGUCGUAAAGCUCUUUCGCCAGGGAUGAUAAUGACAGUACCUGGUAAAGAAACCCCGGCUAACUCCGUGCCAGCAGCCGCGGUAAUACGGAGGGGGUUAGCGUUGUUCGGAAUUACUGGGCGUAAAGCGCGCGUAGGCGGAUUAUUAAGUUAGGGGUGAAAUCCCGGGGCUCAACCCCGGAACUGCCUCUAAUACUGGUAGUCUUGAGUUCGAGAGAGGUGAGUGGAAUUCCGAGUGUAGAGGUGAAAUUCGUAGAUAUUCGGAGGAACACCAGUGGCGAAGGCGGCUCACUGGCUCGAUACUGACGCUGAGGUGCGAAAGUGUGGGGAGCAAACAGGAUUAGAUACCCUGGUAGUCCACACCGUAAACGAUGAAUGCCAGACGUCGGCAAGCAUGCUUGUCGGUGUCACACCUAACGGAUUAAGCAUUCCGCCUGGGGAGUACGGUCGCAAGAUUAAAACUCAAAGGAAUUGACGG
rnacentral:rRNA from 1 species